UACGGGGGGGGCGAGCGUUGUUCGGAAUUACUGGGCGUAAAGCGUGCGUAGACGGUUAUUUAAGUCGGGUGUGAAAGCCCCGGGCUCAACCUGGGAAUUGCAUUCGAGACUGAAUAGCUAGGGUACGGUAGAGGGAAGUGGAAUUUCCGGUGUAGCGGUGAAAUGCGUAGAUAUCGGAAGGAACACCAGUGGCGAAAGCGGCUUCCUGGUCCAGCACCGACGUUCAGGCACGAAAGCGUGGGGAGCAAACAGG
rnacentral:rRNA from 1 species